rnacentral:rRNA from 1 species
AGAGUUUGAUCCUGGCUCAGAAUGAACGCUGGCGGCGUGCGUAACACAUGCAAGUCGAACGAGAAAGCGUCCUUCGGGGCGUGAGUAAAGUGGCGAACGGGUGAGUAACGCGUGGGUAACCUGCCCCUGAGUCUGGAAUAACUUCGCGAAAGCGAGGCUAAUACCGGAUAUUGUCCCAGGGACCCUGGUCCUUGUGAUGAAAGAUGACCUCUUCACGAAAGUUGUCGUUCAGGGAGGGGCCCGCGUACCAUUAGCUAGUUGGUAGGGUAAUGGCCUACCAAGGCGAUGAUGGUUAGCUGGUCUGAGAGGAUGACCAGCCACACUGGCACUGAAACACGGGCCAGACUCCUACGGGAGGCAGCAGUGAGGAAUUUUGCGCAAUAGGGGAAACCCUGACGCAGCAACGCCGCGUGAGCGAAGAAGGCCCUCGGGUCGUAAAGCUCUGUCAAGUGGGAAAAAAGCUUCCUGGUGAAUAGCCAGGAAGACUGAUGGUACCAUUGAAGGAAGCACCGGCUAACUCCGUGCCAGCAGCCGCGGUAAUACGGAGGGUGCAAGCGUUGUUCGGAAUUACUGGGCGUAAAGGGCGUGUAGGCGGUGUGGUAAGUCAGAUGUGAAAGCCCUGGGCUUAACCCAGGAAGUGCAUUUGAAACUGCCAUGCUUGAGUAUGGGAGAGGAGAGUGGAAUUCCCAGUGUAGAGGUGAAAUUCGUAGAUAUUGGGAGGAACACCCGUGGCGAAGGCGACUCUCUGGACCAAUACUGGACGCUGAAGCCGCGAAAGCGUGGGGAGCAAACAGGAUUAGAUANCCUGGUAGUCCACGCCGUAAACGAUGAGCACUAGGUGUAGCGGGUAUUGACCCCUGCUGUGCCGUAGCUAACGCAUUAAGUGCUCCGCCUGGGGAGUACGGCCGCAAGGCUAAAACUCAAAUGAAUUGACGG